rnacentral:lncRNA from 1 species
AAACUCUGAAAGAAAGAGAACUAACUAGCCUGGGAUUUAGAACAUACGCUAGCAUAUUAGCUUUAUUGAAUCAAUACUUCCCAAAUGUGUUUAAAUUUAAAAUAUUUUUAAAUGGAGUGUUUUGUGGGAUUUUAUAAAACACUGGCCCUGAGCACUUUCUCAUUAAAAUUAUUACAACUUGUACUAAAUGUCCUCAGAAAAAUUAGGAUUAACUAAAUGUUUCUCUGUUAAAGAAUUUAGAGUAUUUUAUGGUACUCUUUCCCAACAAACUGAAAUAUAAUUUAAAGCAAAUAUUUAAAUAUGCUUUUGAUGUCCUCAUUGUUUGCCUUAUGGUAAUGAAAUGUAAAUAUUUUAUCUUAAUGGCAUUUUGAAUGCUAAUUGUAUUUCCACAAUCAUUUCAAUAUUAUAAUUCCUUCCUGAAGAUGUUAGUUUGCAGUUCUGCAAGGUGACAAAGAAUACUUUUCACUCACCACAGGCUAGCUGGCACUGCAAAGCCCUGCAUACAUGGGACACUGCAUACAUGGGACACUGCAUACAUGGGACACUCCUCGUCUUGCUUCUCCUUCCCCCUUUCCUUCCCCUCUUCUCUUCAUUCUUUUUUACUUGGUCAUGGUCUUUUAGCAUAUUCAACAUUUCUAUAAACCCACAAUUAAAUCAAAUGUGUGUUCUGUUAUGUUACUUAUUUUCUGGACUAGAUGAUGAAACACACUUUUGAUUUCUGGUCAUAAGGAAAAAGAGAGCAUUUUCUGUAUCUUACCAUAGAUAUGACAGAAAAACAUGAUCUUUUUAAGUCAACAUAUGGUAAUUGGGCAGCAUUAGUCACAAUUGUCAUAAACAAUAAGAAUAACAAUGAGAUUUAUUAUAAGCCUGUUUGUUGCCCAAUGUAAUUUUAUUUAACAAUUAUGAGUUAAAAUGUAAAUGAGGAUGUGGAACUUUGUGUUGGCCUGCUGACUCAGCUCUUCUUUCCAGGGAUUCAUUCCCAGGCCACCACACUGGAGACUCUGUGUCUCUAGCAAUUGAAACUUGCUUUCUUAUUCCUAACCAGUUCGUUUCUUCCUUCCCAAAGGAAAUUACAAUACUUUCUAUGACAAAAAUCUCAACAACUCUAACUUUUUAAUUGAAAAUAGAUUUUUAAUAGUCUAUUUUGAUUAUGGUUUCUCCUCCCCCAACUCCUCCAAAAAUCUCCUUACUCCCCACCCAGCCCAAACAGGACCCUUUCUUUUUCUCUCUAAUUAGGAUAUAAACAGACAAUUCAAUGAUAAUAAAAAUUAUCUUGAUGAUGAUGAGAAAAUAAUAACAUUAAAUAAAAGCAAAGAAGCCAGAAUAGGACAAAACAAAC